GGAACCACCACUUUAAGGGUUUUUUGUUGUUGUUGUAUAGUCACUAAGUCGUGUCUGACUCUUUGCAACCCACCAGACUCCUCUGUUCAUAGCAGUUCCUGGGCAAGAAUACUGGAGUGGGUUGCCAUUUUCUUCUCCAUGGAAUCUUCCUGAACCAGGGAUCAAACCUGCAUCUCCUGCAUUGCAAGUGGAUUCUUUACUGUUGAGCCAUCAGGAAAGCUCAGUUAAGGGCUUUUAGGGAGAACAACUUUUAUUCUAUUCUGGAGACUGAUCUCUGCAACUUGAUAUCUUGGGAGUGGGAAGGCGUUAAGUGCUAUCCUGCUGAGUCACUUCCGACUUCUUGUUCAUCAUGCUCAGCUCCUGAAAAUGGAAUGGAUGGAAAGGGCUGGAUAUUGUACUGUCUGGUGAUGCGUUUAAGGAGAACUGAGUGUCUGUCAGGCUGGCUCCCCAUGGACGGAAUGCUGGGGAUGUGAACUGAGCAGCGCCUGAAGUGUGUUUCUCAUCUGACACAUAGGACACUUUGCCUUGGAUUGUAAUGCUAAUAAUAACCACUCCACUUACUGCCACCCAUGAGGAGCCAGGCAGGCCCUGGGCUUGUGCUUUCCAUGACUGUCUAUUUGAAUCAUCACAACAGUUGGAGAAGUCAGGGAUCCUGUAUUUUAUGGACAAGGAAAUUCAGACUAAGACAGGUUAGGGAAUUUGCCCUAGAUCAUAACAGCUAGUAGGUGGCAGAGCAGGGAUUCAAAUCCAUAAUCUAGAUCUGUGCUGUUUCAUAAGAUAACCACUAGCCACAUGAGGCUGUGUGUGUGCGUUCUGUUACUCAGUCGUGUCCAACUCUUUGUGACCCCAUGGACUGCAGCCUGCCAUGCUCCUCUGUCCAUGGGAUUCUCCAGCAAGAAUAGUGGAGUAGGUUGCCCUUUCCAGGGGAUCUUCCCAAUGCAGGGAUCAAACCUGCGUCUCCUGCAUUGGCAGGCAAAUUCUUCAUCACUGCGCCACCUGGGAAGCCCCACAUGAGGCUAUUCAGUUCAGUUCACUCGCUCAGUCAUGUCCAACUCUUUGCAACCCCAUGAAUCGCAGCACACCAGGCCUCCCUGUCCAUCACCAACUCCCGGAGUUCACCCAGACUCACGUCCAUUGAGACAGUGAUGCCAUCCAGCCAUCUCAUCCUCUGUCAUCCCCUUCUCCUCCUGCCCCCAAUCCCUCCCAGCAUCAGAGUCUUUUCCAAUGAGUCAACUCUUCGCAUGAGGUGGCCAAAGUACUGGAGUUUCAGCUUCAGCAUCAUUC
ensembl:lncRNA